rnacentral:rRNA from 1 species
GAUGAACGCUAGCGAUAGGCCUAACACAUGCAAGUUGAGGGGCAGCAUAGAGUAGCAGUACUUUGAUGGCGACCGGCGCACGGGUGAGUAACACGUAUGCAACCUACCUACAUCAGGGGAAUAACCCGGAGAAAUUCGGACUAAUACCGCAUAAUACAGGGAUGCCGCAUGGCAAUAUUUGUUAAAGAUUUAUCGGAUGUAGAUGGGCAUGCGUUCCAUUAGCUAGUUGGUAAGGUAACGGCUUACCAAGGCAACGAUGGAUAGGGGAACUGAGAGGUUUGUCCCCCACACUGGAACUGAGACACGGACCAGACUCCUACGGGAGGCAGCAGUGAGGAAUAUUGGUCAAUGGACGAGAGUCUGAACCAGUCAAAUCGCGUGAAGGAAGACUGCCCUACGGGUUGUAAACUUCUUUUGUACAGGAAUAAAAGACAUUACGUGUAAUGUAUUGCAUGUACUGUACGAAUAAGCAUCGGCUAACUCCGUGCCAGCCGCCGCGGUAA